CUCUUCCCACAAUAAUCCACAUCAGCCUUUGACAGUUACAGUGUUUCUUCUUCCAAUUUUCUAUUUCCUUUAUUUCAUUCAAUCCAAUUUUAUCGUUCACAACCAUUCAUCAGCGGUUACAAUCACGAAACGUUUCAAUCUUCAUAUCCAACCAUCCUUUCUCAUCCUUUCUCUCAUCCUUUCUCUCUCGCACGGGUAACAAAAUUUCCCCAAAUUCUAACACUUUUCUUCUUCAAUCGAUCCCUAUUGUGAUUUUGUUCUUCUUCUGCUUCUCUUCUCUGUAACAUUAAUUGUGGAAAUGGAAGAACGAAUUUGAUGGCUUCGAACCAUUGAACUAACAAUUACUUAAAGCCAUUUGGAAUCGAUGAAGAUUCUUCCAUCUGGUGCUGAUAAAAUUCCUCAUUUGAAUGUUGUAAUUCUCGGUGAAAAUAUUGCUAACGAAGAAGAAGAUUAUGUUCUUCCCAGCGAAGAAUUCGCUUCCAAAGCACAUGUUCGAUGACCGGAACAGUAUCUGCAGAUGUAUAAGAGAUCCAUUGAGGAUCCUGCUGAAUUUUGGUCUGAAAUUGCAUCUGACUUGAAACUGAUACGAAAACUGAUAUGGAAACUGUACAACAAUUGGUGUUUCCGGUGUUGCGGAUCCGUCAACAAGCUUCCAUUUGCACCCUGAUCGAAGCAAUUAUUGGGUUUUGUUUGAAUUUUCAGAUAAGGAAGAUUGUUGCUGCAAGAAUUGGAGACUCGGAUAACUGGUUUUGUUGAUAUGGGAUCAGGGAGUAUUGCUCUGAUGGUUGAGACAUUGAAAAUCAGGUUAGACAUUUAUAAAUGGUUCAUAUUUAGACAUUUAUACUCAUUUGGAAUGAUGUUUGUAUCGUAGUGUACUUUCUAUUGAGUUGGAGGACAUCUCGGGCAACGAUGGCAUCUAUAUUCAAUCUGAUGGAGAGCAUGUGGGAUUCCUUCUGAUGGCAUCUAUAAGAGAAAUUGGUGAAAGAGCAAGCAUCGGUGAAGACUCAUCUUGAUAUUACGGUAUACCAUAUUUGCCACUCAUAUGGAGAAUAUAUCGGAAUUAGCAACAAUCUAUCCUAACGUGAAAAUUCAUCACUUUCAUGUUGAAUUAAAAAACAACCAUUUGGAGUUCAAGGAAGGACCGAAGCAUAUCCCCCAUUAUGGGCUUCUCUUAGCAGAAGAGGCAGGAUUACCAAGUUCAGUUAUUGAGACAGCCAGAAUGAUCACAGGAGCAUUAGAAUCAGGAGAUUUUUCAUGAGAUCGACACCCAUCAAACUUGGAUUUACGAACAUGAUCGUCCCCGACGCAAAACUCGACAACAUAUUAAAAUGAUGAAAACUGUAGAUAACCCGGUAAAACAUUGCAGAACAAGAAUUUUGUAAAAACUAAUUUCGAGGAACAAAGAGGGCUUUCGUGGAAAUUCGCUGCUGCAAAUCAGAAUCACGGCGC